rnacentral:rRNA from 1 species
AGCGGCGGACGGGUGAGUAACACGUGGGCAACCUGCCUGUAAGACUGGGAUAACUUCGGGAAACCGGAGCUAAUACCGGAUAAUCCUUUUCCUCUCAUGAGGGAAAGUUUAAAAGACGGCAUCUCGCUGUCACUUACAGAUGGGCCCGCGGCGCAUUAGCUAGUUGGUGAGGUAACGGCUCACCAAGGCGACAAUGCGUAGCCAACCUGAGAGGGUGAUCGGCCACACUGGGACUGAGACACGGCCCAAACUCCUAC